AACAACUCACCUGCCGAAUGAAUCAGCCCUGAAAAUGGAUGGCGCUUAAGCGGGCGACCGACACCAUGCCGUCUGUACAAUUUUUUUUUUAUGUUUUGCAGAUGAGUAGGAGGACGUGGCGGUUGUGUCGAAGCGUGCGUGCGAACGCGUGUGGAACGGCCGCUAGUGCAGAUCUUGGUGGUAGUAGCAAAUAUUCAAGCGAGAUCCUUGAAGGGCGAAGCGGGGAAGGGUUCCACGCAAACAUUGAUUGGGCGUGGGUGAGUCGUUCCUAAGCCGAGUGGCAAUUGCUAAGUAGCGGCGAAAGGGAAGCAGGUUGACAUUCCUGCACACGGAUGUGGAGGCGGUGACGCUUUAAUGAGGGCGAAGACGCUGGCGAUGGCGCUGGGCAGAGAUUUCUUUUCUGUUUGACCGCUGAAGCGCGCGGUGUGGAAUCCGCUUGUCGGGAGAAACACGCGCGUUCGGGCAGAGCGCCGGGGCUAUUCCGGCGUCCAGCUCGCCAUCGACGGCCCUUGAAAAUUUGCCUGCUGGAAUAGUAAUUUCUUUUCUUUAAAGAAAUCUAUGAAGAUCCACGCCGUGGCGUACCGAUAACCGCAUCAGGUCCCCAAGGUGAACAGCCUCUGCUCUAUAUGAAUAAU
rnacentral:rRNA from 1 species